rnacentral:rRNA from 2 species
UGGGGAAUAUUGCGCAAUGGGCGAAAGCCUGACGCAGCAACGCCGCGUGAGGGAUGACGGCCUUCGGGUUGUAAACCUCUUUCAGCAGGGAAGAAGCGAAAGUGACGGUACCUGCAGAAGAAGCACCGGCUAACUACGUGCCAGCAGCCGCGGUAAUACGUAGGGUGCAAGCGUUGUCCGGAUUUAUUGGGCGUAAAGAGCUCGUAGGCGGUUAGUCACGUCGGAUGUGAAAACCCGGAGCUUAACUCCGGGCCUGCAUUCGAUACGGGCUGACUAGAGUGUUGUAGGGGAGACUGGAACUCCUGGUGUAGCGGUGAAAUGCGCAGAUAUCAGGAAGAACACCGGUGGCGAAGGCGGGUCUCUGGGCAACUACUGACGCUGAGGAGCGAAAGCGUGGGGAGCAAACA